rfam:Hordeum vulgare subsp. vulgare, WGS project CAJW01000000 data, contig: morex_contig_52307
AUGCUACUCCCUCCAUCCCAAAAUUCUUGUCUUAAAUUUUUCUACAUAUGAAUGUAUCUAGUCACGUUUUAGUAUUUACAUACAUCCAUUUCUAGACAAACUUAAGAAAAGAAUUUUGGGACGGAGGGAGUAUUAU